rnacentral:lncRNA from 1 species
UUUAAGAAGAUCUACUUUUUUAUUAUUUAUAUAGCUCCAUAGUUCAUGGUGCUACAUAGAACAAAUCAAAGACAGAUUCCCUGCCCCCUAAGAGCUUACAGUCUAGGCAAGUACAAGAACAACAGGAGAAGAUAACACAGGCAGGGGACAGAGAGGGGUAGUAAAUGAAAAGAAGGACAAUUACAGUCACGUAAAAAGCUAGUGUGUUUAUCUUUGUGGAUACAAACUGGGGAGGUGAGGUGCUUGAGUAACUGUAUUUUUAAUGAGAACUACAUUUUAUAGGAAAGCCAGAAGAGAAGGGUUUUGAAAAUAAAUUUGGUAGUGUCAGAGGUGCUUGUAGGAAGGCAGAGAGGCAAGACUGGAAGGGAACAGGACACUAACAUAUUUGAGGUUGGAAAGCAAUAAGCUUGGAUGUCAGACAAGUCAACCUCAGCAACCCAUUCUUUACCUACGCAUCUUUGAAAAAAUGACAAAAACCACAAUUGCUCCCGUACACCUUAACACAGGCUGGAUUCUUAUUUUGCCUUUAAUAUGGUAUCAGUACACAUUUGGGGACGAAAUCUUGAUUCCUCUGAAAUAGGAGUUUUGAAACUCCUUUCAAAGUAGUCAGCAUUUUAAUCGUCAUAUUUUGUGAUUGGUGAUGUAUUUGGAAACUCUAAUGUAUUUGGAGACUAAGUGAAGUUGUGUCUAAAGUACUUUAAAUAUUUUUCUAGCAUCCUUAAUAUAAUAAUACAAAAAUUUCUUUAUAACAUUAUCAUCUUUUACCUCUUUGUAUGCCGUUAUCUCUGCUCGUGACCCCUUUUCCAUGAAAACAUUUUGAUUUUGUAGAAUAUCAGGGUAUUUCUCCUACUUCUAUUUGAGAUUUUGGAUUUUGGUGGGGUUAUUUUCUUCAUAAAUUAUGUCUUUUCCAUCCUGUUAUUUGGGGGUUUUGGAAGACUUUAUGGAUAAAACCAGGAAGGAUUGAUGCAAGUAAUUAAACAUGAAAGAAAAGGUUCUGUAAAACUUAUACUGAAUUCUUCAACUGAAAGUUGAGACAGAAACUUCAUGAAGUAGUAUCUCAUUAAAAACCUGCCAGAUACUCCCUGGAUAUGUUUGUAUUUGUUUUUAUGUAAUAGAGGAGUAUCAUGAAACGGCUUGCUGAUUUGUAUAACCAGACAAAUCCUCAUUUACUGUAAAGCAACACAUAUCUCUUGAUUUCAUCCAACUAUUUGGCUCAGAAUUUUUUGCUACCAGUCGUUUCACGUUUUAUUUAUAGAUAAGCUAAAGGGAGUUUUGUCAUUUAUUCUGUAAUACCCACAUAGUUCUAUUGCUAUAUAACCAUGCUGAGGCAACUUGAAGAUUUAAAUUGUGUGUCUUGAGAAUUUUUAAAGAUUAUAGACAUCUAUCGUCCUUGAAACAGAUACAGUUAAAAAAAAGAAAAAAAGA